UACGGAGGGGGCGAGCGUUAUUCGGAAUUAUUGGGCGUAAAGGGCGCGCAGGCGGCUUCGUAAGUCAAAGGUGAAAUCCCUCGGCUCAACUGAGGAACUGCCUUUGAAACUGUGAGGCUUGAGGCCGGGAGGGGGUAGCGGAAUUCCCAGUGUAGCGGUGAAAUGCGUAGAUACUGGGAGGAACACCAGUGGCGAAGGCGGCUACCUGGACCGGUACUGACGCUGAGGCGCGAAAGCGUGGGUAGCAAACAGG
rnacentral:rRNA from 1 species